AGGAGUGUAGCUCAGCUGGAAGAGCAGCGGUCUCCAAAACCGCAGGUCGGGGGUUCGAAUCCUCCCACUCCUGCCA
rnacentral:tRNA from 1 species